ACGCCGGGCUCUCGACGGACAGGCGCGGCGGGGAGCAGGAAGGAGGACGGGCGCGGGCCGGCUGGCUCCGCGGGGAGGUCGGGCUGUGCCGGGCCAUGGCGCUCAGCAGGAAGGAAGUGUUCAUAAAGAACGUCCUGAAACGCCUCUAUGCUGAGACUUCAUCUUCUCCUGUUCAUGCUUCGGGUGGAAAGGAGGAGGCGGUUCUCAUAAAUCUGGGCUCAAAAUCCAAAGAGAAUGAUUUGGAAAAUGUUCAGACUUUGUCAGCAGAUGCUAGUACGUCAAGUGGGACACUCAGCAAAUCAUCUCGAGGUAGUGACACCACAAUUCCACCUCCAAGGAGAAUGUACACUGUGAGUCCUCCUCCUGAGGGCUAUGCUGCAGCUUUUCCAGAUACUAAUAGCAUUACAAUUUCUGAAAACUCUGAGAGUAGUGCUGACUCUACAGAGGAGGAGUAUCAAGGACAAACCAAGAGAAAACGCAUUCGAAGAAAGAAACUAAAGAACAGUUUACAAGACUCUAAUAUUUUACACGGAGAACAGGUAGAAUCCGGAAUGCAGGAGACUCUUGUUCAAGAUAAUUUACAGCUGCAGCAGAUAGACAGCCCCAAAAUCAGCAAAAACAAAAAGAGAAAAAUGAAAAAGAAGCGACAGAAAGAAAAAAUGAGAGCAGCUGGCUUGCUAACAAAAACUACCGGUGUGGAUUUUACAUAUCAGCCUGACAAAAACAACAGAGAAGGAGCACCAGACUUAAAAGAUACAGAUGAAAAGGCAGACAGCAUUCUGGAUUUCUUGCAGGCAACACAGCAAAUUUAUUUUGCUGACAGUAAAUCAAAAUGCACAGAUUCUACUGUAAAUUCAGCAGCUGCUCAAGAGCUUUUACAGUGUUUUGAAUCUCGCAGCGUAUCUUCUUCAGAUGUAACUCUUCUACAUCAGCUGAAAUCCCUUGUAUUGCUACAGGAUAUUGACAGACUGAAGGAUGCUUUGAAACAAUUCCAGGAACAUUCCAUGAUGCCUCCUGAUCAUACCAAGUUCAUCAUUACUCUGUUUCACUACUGGAUUACAGAUAUCCUUCCUACGAAGAACAGGAAAUAAAGCCUUGCCUGUGUUCAUAUGUGCAGGGUUAAAAUUAUAUAUACAGCACUUAACAAGUAGCAAUUAUUCAGAAAGAGCAGUGUCAAUAUACACUCUACAUCUUCAGGAUGUGUAAGGUAGCUCAGCCCUGUUCUGAAGAAUGAAAAGCAGUCUCAAACUACUUGGCAUGUACUGUAUGAUGAAAAUCUGAGCAUGGCCAGAUCCUGGGAAGCAGCUGGCAACAAUGACUUACCAAGGUGGGGUGAAUGGGAGAGAAGCAAAAAUGGAGCUAUGCGUGUAUGAGCCUGAUAUUUCCCCUGCAGGUAGUAAUUCUCAGAUCUGUUUUGUUCUGUUUAGUAACAUCCUUGUGAACUACCUAAGACUUGUACUUUCAGAUGAGAGCGGUGAAAAACUUGGGAGGUAAAAGUCACAAAGUUGAGGUGGCAUUGAGCAAGUAUCUCUAAGAGGAUAGUCUUUUGAAUAACAACUAAAGGUCCUUCAUCAACCUUAAUGCAGAGCCAGUUGUCCAGAGCUGAUCCAAAUCGUAGGAAUUAGUUAUCCACAAAUUAUUGAUGCUUUGUACUGCAGGCUUUUGAAUAGGAAUUUUUCUGUUUGAAGCCAAGAAGUCCUUGUUACCUUCUUUUUUCAGAGCCCCCCCGUUUGUUGUUGUUAUUCUCUGUGAAUAUACAGGAUAAGUCAUCUGAAAACCUACCCAAUAAAGGCAUUCUACACACAGUUUCUGUUCCUUCUCUUCUCUGGGAUUAAAUCUAAAUCUGUGGACCUGGAUGUUAUCUCAGUGCAUGGAAUUGUGUGCUUGCAUUACCAUCCAUUAUGCCCUGCAGGAAUAUUUACUCCCGUUCCCUAUCUGGCAGUGUGUACUUGUGAGUGAGCAAGAGUCAUUACAGCUGAGCAUUCUGUUCUGUGCAGUGCCCUCACAUGGUGGAAAUAAUUGCAUUCCAACUCUCAGUUCAAGAGCAGUGCACACCAGGAUAUUACUGUAUAACUGUCAGCGUUGCUUUGGUGUAGAAGCUUCCUCCAGGCACCCACAAGACAGAUGGCUGUAUCAGUCCAUAGCCAUUCAACUCUGUAUUGCAAUUGGAAAGAAAUACAAACAAAAAUUUCUAACUAUCUCUGCUAAGCAAUUUUACAGCUGUCUAUCUGAAAUUAACGUACCCUCUCUUGUUUGCUUUGCAUUUUUAUUGUGAUGCUUUUUUUUUUUUUUCUAAGUACUACACUGUGAGUAAGUAGCCUUCCACUGAGCUUUUAAUGCUCACAAAAACACAGGACACUAAGUUAACCAAGAUACAUGCUUCAAACUGUAGGAAACCAAGCAAAGGAGGAUUCUGCAAAACAGUAUCAACUGAACACUUUUUAUAGGCCAGUGUAAAAAGCAGUCUCUUGUAGCAAAGUACUUAUGUGUAAAAGUUGAGGAUAACUUCCUGGUCCUGGUAUUGGACAGAUCAACUGGAGAUGAAGUGUUACUGAACCUGGUGCUCACCAAUGCAGAGGAGAUCAUUAAAGAGGUUACGAUUGGAGGCAGCCUGGGCUGUAGUGACCAUGCUCUGAUUGAGUUCAUGAUCAUGAGGAAUAUGGGCCUGGCAAAAAGCAGAGUCAGGACCCUGAAGUUUGGGAGUGUGAGCUUCCAGCUGUUUAAGGAAUUAUUGGAUUGGAAAUUAUUCGAAAAUUGUCCUUAAGGACAUAAGAAGGAACAGAGCUGGCAGAUCUUCAAGGACACCUUUCUGAGAGUGCAAGAGCUCUCCAUCCCCCAGCAUAAGAAAUCAAGGGGAGGAAGCAGGAAGCUGGCAUGGCUGAGCAAGGAUCUGCUGGUUAAAUUAAGGGAAAAGAAGGAAAAGUACAGGCAGUGGAAGCAGGGAUGGAUGGCCUGGGAAGAAUACGGGGAUGUCAUAUAAGAAAUAUGUGGAGCUGUUGGAGGACCACAAAGAUGAUCAUACAGCGGGAUGGAGCAUCUCUCUGAAGAAAACUUGGGGGAGCUGGGCUUGUUUAGCUGGGAGAAGGGAAGACUGGGGAGAUCUUAUUGCAGCCUUCCAGUACCUGAGGGAAGCUUAUAAGCAAGAGAGGGACUGACUUUUUACAUGGUCUGAUAGUGAUAGGACAAGGGGGAAUGGCGUUAAGCUAGAAGAGGGGAUAUUUCAGAGCAAUUCUUUGCUCAGAGGAUGGUGAGGCACUGGCUCAGGUUGCCCAGGGAAGUUGUGGAUGCCCCAUCCCUGUAGGUGUUGGAUGGAGUCCUGGACAGCCUGAUCUAGUGGCUGAUGCACGUUAUUAAAAACACGGGUUCACCAUACACUUUUGAAGUGUUCUUUGAUUUGUUCUGCCAUCCUUUUCAAACGAUUUGGUUGCUUUCUUGACCCCUUACUGAGCUGGUAUUUUCAUAGAAAUGCUAUUUAAUUUCCUAAUGUUCAUAAUUAGCCAACGUAGCUGUGUGCACAGCUUUGCUAUGCCUUACGUAGAAUUUCAUCUGCCGUUUUGUCACAAGUUGUUCAUGAUCAAGGUGUGCUUCUGCAGCUCUGCACAGUCAGCUUUCACUUGUAGCCACUGUAAUAAACGUAGUGGAAUCAGCAGUCUCUGUUCUCUCAUUAUUCAUCACCUUUUUUCAGGUCAUUCGGGACUUUGCUGAGCAGCACAGAUCUUGGCACAAAGUCCCAUGGGAUUGCAUUGGCGAUUUCCUUCCAGUGGGAAUCUUGCACUCCUGCUUUUCCUUUUGUGUUUUUUAAUUGCUUAUUCAUUCAAAGGAGGAUCUUCACAGUCCAUGUGACCUCCCUUUGCAAGUUUUAUUUUUCUUUUUUCAAUUUAUAAAAAUCGAGUUUAGUAUACCUUAACCACUUAUUUUAAAGGCAGUGGGCUUGUGAAAUGUAUCUUCCCUUUGCAGAAGUUUUAUGGACUGUUGCCCAAUAUAUUUUCCCAUGUGUCUGCUCAUUCUUUUCCUUGCAGUGCUUACUACUGAUUUGCUGAACAAAGACAUCAAGGUGUGCUGGUCUCAUAGAACCAUGGAAUCAUGAGUUGGAAGGGACCCACAGAGGUCAUCGUGUUCAACUCCUGGUUCCACAUAGGACCACAAAGGGAAAAACCCUUCCCUGGACAAGUUGGCAGUGGUUGCGGUUCCUCACAUCACCGCUGGAUCCCUUUGUUAAAAUGACCUAUUUUACCACCAUGCAGGCCUCUGAUGCUGAAGAAAUUCUCAGAGGUUAUAUACUGCAGCUAGCAGAUGUGUUAUUUCAUCCUUCAGUUAGUUUAGAACUCUUAGCAGAGGGAUGCUGAUUCUCCCUGUCUGAACACCGUGCCCCAGGAAGCCCGCCUCUCCUUUCCACUGCCAUUCUCUGAACUGAAAGAAUCACACGCACAGGAACAUUACUUCGAGAGCUUUGGAAUGCCAUAGUAAAGAGCCUGGAGGAGUGUAAACCAGCACCGUUCUGCUGAGCACUUCUGAUGAACACCAACAUGAGCUCACAGAGCACACUGGUGCGGUGCUAGUUGACAUCUCCUGAAGAUUUACCCUGCAUCUUCAGAAGUGUGACUGUAACUGGAGCUGAAUUGUGGCUUGCUAUCCUUACUCAAGGUUGCAUAUAUUGAUGGGACUGAAAUUCUACAAAGACUUAGAAAUAAUGGUUAUUCCUCUACGGAGAAUGACACCUGGGUAUAUAAGGUUGCUGCAGACUCAAGCUGCAGGAAAAAUAGUUAUCAACUCAUCGGACGUGCUGCUGCAACGGGCAGCCUUGCUCCUGGGCAUGUUUGGGAUCAGUCUCUCCAGCUACAGCACACACCAGCUGGCUCAACAGAAGAGACUUUCCGUGACCCUUUAAGCAGCGUUGGGAUGCGACCCAAGAAGUAAAUGCUUGUGUCAGUAAUGCUGAUGAGUAGCUUUUCUGUCUUCAAUACUGGUGUGGAGGUAAUGAGACGCAUUACAGCCUCGAUUUCUACAUGCAAAGUUAAAAAGAUGAAAGAAUACAGACUUCUUCAGGAAAGAAAAAAGUAUCACGACGAAUGGAAAUCAGAUUUCCAAGGAUUUGUAAAUGUGAUGGAUCUCGGUGGUCAUUUAAGACCCUUCCAACCCCAGCAAUUCUGUGAUUCUGUGAUUUUGUUUGUUAUCUAGUGUCUGCAUAAAGAGACAUCUGAAUGAAUAGAAUACAGUUGAAAUCAGAGUAGAUGUAACCAGAUUGAUGUGGGUGCCAUGCUUAUUUAGCAUCACCUUGCUACAGCUUUUGCAAAUUGACUCCUAUACAAAGACUGGUUUGGAAAAGGAUAAUUGGAAACAAUAUAUUCCUCAUGAUAAGAGUUAAACCAGAUAAAAAUAAUCUUUCAAAGACUGUUUGUACUUUUAUGUCUAACUACAAAUACACAUCUAUGUGAGUUACAGGAAUUGUGCACUCUAACCAUUACUGUUGAAUCUUAAACUUUUUUUAUGCCUCUUGUAUAGAAAUGUGUGUGCGUUGUAGCACAUACUGAUUUCCUUGUGCAACAGCAGGGAUGGCUGAAAGCUCCGCCAUCGGUACGCUGUUGGAAAGGAACCACGACAGCAGUCCUGAUGACUUUGUCAUCCUGUACAGAAACUCUCUACUCUGGAAAAGAUCAGUAAAAAUUUUGAGUUGAGUUUUGUUGUAGAGUUAACCAUCUGAUUGUAUUCCUCUGCAGAAAACCCUCAUCUCAAAAGAUACAUGCUGAUUAAAAUAGAGAUUGACCUUCCUUCCUUUUCCCCUGUUAUCUUGUUCUUCUUGCUCCAUAUAAUAGCUUAUUCAGGAAUGUUCUGUUACUGUCAGUUAGCAUUUUUCCAACUGUUUCCAAUGCUCUAUGUAAACAUGGCUUUGUAGACUCUUCCAUGCAUGUGUUACUGCUUAAAGACCUUUGUUCUCGCUUAAUAAAUGCAAAUUUAUUUUUUCAGUGUUUAAA